UGGGGAAUUUUGGACAAUGGGCGCAAGCCUGAUCCAGCCAUGCCGCGUGCGGGAAGAAGGCCUUCGGGUUGUAAACCGCUUUUGUCAGGGAAGAAACGGCCUGGGUUAAUACCUUGGGCUAAUGACGGUACCUGAAGAAUAAGCACCGGCUAACUACGUGCCAGCAGCCGCGGUAAUACGUAGGGUGCAAGCGUUAAUCGGAAUUACUGGGCGUAAAGCGUGCGCAGGCGGCCAUGCAAGACAGAUGUGAAAUCCCCGGGCUCAACCUGGGAACUGCAUUUGUGACUGCAUGGCUCGAGUACGGCAGAGGGGGAUGGAAUUCCGCGUGUAGCAGUGAAAUGCGUAGAUAUGCGGAGGAACACCGAUGGCGAAGGCAAUCCCCUGGGCCUGUACUGACGCUCAUGCACGAAAGCGUGGGGAGCAAACAGG
rnacentral:rRNA from 1 species